rnacentral:misc_RNA from 1 species
GAUGAAGAACGUAGCGAAAUGCGAUAAGUAAUGCGAAUUGCAGAAUCCGUGAGUCAUCGAAUCUUUGAACGCACAUUGCGCCCGCCAGUAUUCUGGCGGGCAUGCCUGUUCGAGCGUCAUUUCAACCAUCAAGCCCCAGGCUUGUGUUGGGGACCUGCGGCUGCCGCAGGCCCUGAAAACCAGUGGCGGGCUCGCUGUCACACCGGGCGUAGUAGAUUUUAUCUCGCUCUGGGCGUGCUGCGGGUUCCGGCCGUUAAAAAACCCUUUUAACCCAAGGUUGACCUCGGAUCAGGUAGGAAUACCCGCUGAACUUAAGCAUAUCAAUAAGCGGAGGA